UGGCAAAACUGUCCGCCGAAAGAGAAGGUGAAACCGCUUCCGCAAACGACGCACAACAGUAGAGAAAGCUGAGCCGGGGAGUAAGGUGCAAAACUUGCUCGGGAGAGUAGGAAUUCGUGAUUCGUGUCAGCCGUAAGGGGCACAGUUGCGAGGCUGGAAGAAGCAUCUAUUCACUCCCAGUUCAUCGCAACUAAAGGAAAUCGCAAAAUAUCGUAAAAUAUCGUACUCGAACAGCACGUGUGUCGGCAGUUCUUAUCACCCGGACCACUCAGUUCUCUCGUAUUAAGUGUCGCUUUCCCGGCGGGCACCCGGAUUGCAUGCCAUAUAAACACAGCUCUUGGGCGUAGAGGACAUCCACGCAAGAACCGGAUCGCGAGUCGAUUGAAUAGCCAGAGUAAAGCAAAAGUAACUGAGUAACGGAAAAGCCUGCGGAAGCAGGCUUUUCUUUUUUGCUUUUACGCUGCAGCAGAUUCGGCGAUACGCGGUGUGCAAUCGGCCAGAAAGACAGAGCUGCUCGGACGUGAAUCGUUGUAGUGACGAGUUGCCAUCAGACAAACCUGACGUGCGAGUGAAGGACAGUGUGGUGCGAGAGGACAGUGCGGGAGCAUCGGGGAGAUUCCCCAAUCAAACACAACGGUGAGCGUCGAACAGACUCUUUGGUACGGCGGCAUGUUCGGCAAAUGGACUACGCUGUCUGGCGACGAGAGCGACGUUUAAGGUGAAUGUUCGUCGUGCCAACACGGUUCGUAUCAAGAAAUGAAAGGGUGCACCCUCGGCGAUGAAGCGUGAGUAAAGAAAACAUUGUAAUAGAAGCUGAAAAGACAGGGCUAGAUAGAGUAGGUAGAGCUUAGGCUAAGAAGAGGAAUGUUGGGCGAAUAAAGUUUGCACACUAUGUCAGUUAAUUUGUCAUGUAGUCAAUGUUAACUAGCCGGUCCGAUUUGUGGCGCUAAUAUACGC